UACAGAGGGUGCAAGCGUUGUUCGGAAUUAUUGGGCGUAAAGCGCGUGUAGGCGGCUUUGCAAGUCGGGUGUGAAAGCCCUCAGCUCAACUGAGGAAGUGCGCCCGAAACUGCAGAGCUUGAGUGCCGGAGAGGGUGGCGGAAUUCCCCAAGUAGAGGUGAAAUUCGUAGAUAUGGGGAGGAACACCGGUGGCGAAGGCGGCCACCUGGACGGUAACUGACGUUGAGACGCGAAAGCGUGGGGAGCAAACAGG
rnacentral:rRNA from 1 species